GCUGCUGAGUGCGCCAAAACACCCGGCCGGCAAACUUUGCACAUGUAAGUUGACUGCAGAGAAGGCGAACUGGCAGGAACUUUGCACCCCUCGCUGCUACCCAAUUCCCCCUCUACUAGUUAGUCCUGAAGAUACCUGGAGGAGACUGGAGCGGCGCUGCCACGGCAUGACACAUUGUCCAUGAUUCAGAGCUCAGCUGUGGAAAGAAUCCAAGCACCUCAACCAGCAAAGGUAGCUUCUCAGAAGCCAACAGGAGUGCUAUCUGCUCUGUGCCAAAGGAACUGGGAAGCUGAGGCCAAACCUUCUGCUGCAAUCAACCUGGCAAUCUACUUUAGGUUGCCUUGACAGCCGCAGUAUUGAUCCUCUCUUGCUUACCCUCAAGGAGACCACAGAAGGUUUCUCAUCCAGAGAGACAGUGCUUAUGAAUCAUUGAUUUAGGAAAUCAGGUCUCCCAAUAAUUGCAAUUCCAUUUAUUUUUUUUUCAAGAGGGAAAAUUGGGGUGGGGGUAGAACCGAGUUAAGAUCAGGAGCUGCAUUGGUUUGCUGCCUGCUGGGAAACCCUGUUGUUUCUCACAGUCUGAAUCAUGUGAAUGAGACACAUAAUGCAGGGGGCAUGUGGGAGUCAAAAGCAAAGGCAAGGACCGAACAUGCAAUGGUAUCUUUUAGGGGGGAAAAGGGGGGGGGAAAGGAGGUUAAUCUUGCUGUGUUUUUUGCCACCUUCUAGUGGAUGAAUUGACCUAAACAGUGAUUUUCAUACUAUCUCCUCCACCUAAAAGGCUGUUCUACUGGGAGGAACUACUGUACUGCAGUACUGUAAAUGAACUAUACCUUGAUAAACAACAGGGUGGAUAAUAUUACAAAAGACUGUAUUGUCACCUACUAAUUCUAAUGAUACAGUAUAUUUCUGUGAUAGUACGAUUUGAAGGUCCUCUUCAAUCCACCACCCCCAUUUCUCAGUCUGCUUCAUUAUUCCUUGACCAUUUUUGUUAACGCACAAAAUAAGGCAACCUGGAAAAAUGUAUCACUUGUGGCUGAGCACCAGAUCAAGCAACAAUACAUUUUGACUUGAGCAAUGGAAGGGAAGCGAAUCUCUGCCGUACAUUCUAGAAAACGUAACACCGAAUUAACAGCACAUUAUAAGCAACCUGUAAGAGAUUAAACUCUUCCUCCUAUAAUGGAGGGAUAUGUGGAGUGAAACUCAGCCCAAAUGCACCUCUCUAUAAUCUCCUUUCUCCUUGUUGCAUCCAAAAUAAAAGGUCCAGCAGAUGCAUCAGCAGGAGACAGGGACAAUCAACAGGGCCUGAUAGGGACGACAUAAACCCAGCAAUGAACUAUUCCCUUAAAUCGAUUAUCUUACCUGAGAAGAAGCGUGAUAAAUUAUUACAGCAUCAGCAGGAGAACCAUUAUCCAUAGAUCUGCAUAUGCCGUUUUUUCCUUACUGCAGCUGUCCAGGUUCCUCAAGAUAGGAGCUUCCAAAGUCUCCCAUUUUACACCGUCUCAUGGACAAAAAAGAUCCACCCCCAAAAUUGAAAAGAAACCUUUACAGGAACCUUCUGCCCUGGCGUCUUCCUCUAAAAAUCAUUCCGUGUUCCCCAACAUCCGUAAGGGAGGGGGUGCUUGUGGGGGAAUUAAAAAAAAAAAAAAAGAGGGAAGGAAGAAAAGAGACUGCUCUAUAUUUAAAUAAUGAAAUGAAAACCAAGACUGCAAAUUAAGGGAUACCGCCAUCUACUGGCAAAAGGAAUGGAUAUUAUUUUUCCGUUGUCUUGUUUUUGCACCCCUGUGACAGAAGCUACAUCGUUAGUCACCUAUUCUCAUUUUAAGGACUAAAAAUACACCAACUUUAAACAAGGAAACGACAAACCUUGUAUCUGGUUGCACCGUUCAAAGGAGGGGAGGGGCGGUGACAACAAUAUAACCCCAUUUUAGAAAAUCUUUCCCCAAGCAUGCAGCCGCCUAUGCAAUUACUUAUGUUGAGGCUCCCCCCACCCUUCUGUGCAGCAAUCACAUGAAAUGAUAGGAAUGAAAGGGUUUUCUCAGCCUAUCUGCCAAAAAGGGCACUUGCAAUAUUUGCUGCAAUGUGCAACUUUAAAUUACAAGAUUUUGCACAACUUUCGGAUGACAUUCAUUAUCGACAUAUACAAAGCAGGGAAGACCAAUAUUGCUGAGUGUGCCACUUUUAUAAAAGAAAAAGAAGAAGAAGCAAAAGUAGUGGUAUGACUGUUAAUUGAAUCUGAAAAGAUAAAUUGUGCACUGCAGAUCACUGAAGAGAAUUCUUCAAUGAAAGCCUAUACAUAUUUGCAUGAUAGUGAGUCUAUUGGCUCAGUGCAAUAAAUAGUACUAUUUCUCAAAUGGCACAGAUAUGUAACACCCUUUCAUCACUUCCUCAGAAGGCUUUUGACAUUUGUACUAUCUAUGACUCUGACUUUGGAUCAAUAUUUUCUCAGUUUGCACUUUUCACAAUUUGCCCUAAAAGAGCCCCCCUUGAACUAAAGGAUAAACGGCUGAAAUGUUUUAGAAAGGUAUUCAGUCUUUGAAGGACUAGCAAAUAGAAAAGGGAAAUUUAAGUUACACUAUGUAAUAUUAUGCAUCCUGUCAUGUGACAUGACGUAUCGUGACGUAUUGCGACUUUUUUUGCCUUGGUGGAGCUGGGGUGGGCAAGGCUAGUGUGUGACACAUCCGGCAUGUUGGCUGCCAGUUUGACACCCCUGCUUUAAACUCUAUGAUUCAAGGGCAUUUCACUUAGCUUGGAAUUAACCAUAAAA